AAAAAUUCAUAAAGAAGAAGAAGAAGAAUCAAACCAUGGCCAUCUGGUGCUGCUGCUCUACAUAUAUUGGAAUUUUUCAUGGAACCAACUAUUGGAGAAUAUAAAAUUAUUUUGGUUCAAAUGUUAGCUCCGCCCAUUCACAGGCUCUAGUUGCGCUUCAGCGUCAACGUCCCACCACAGAGUGGUUACUAGCUAGGUUGGCACACGUGCGUGUUCGGCUCUCUGGCAGUGGCACUUAACAGACACCAAGUUUGAAUGUUUCUUCUCUAUUAAUCCGGAGAAAGGGACAAAAGUGGAACAAACAAAAACAAAACGGCUCCAUGUGAAUCCAAGAGUCCUUACUUUGAUUCAGGACCUCUCAGACCAUGAAUGGCGGGCUAUUUAAAAAGUUGUUCCUUCAAGUGGCCGCGACAGUGAACACCCAUGUUUCUCUAGAUGUUCUUCUAGAAGCAAUGCAGUUGCAUCUUAAUCAAGCCUUUACCAUGAUUCACAAGCUCUCCAUGAAUGGCGAGGUAUUUAAAAAGUUGUUCCUUCAAGUGGCCGUGAACACCCAUAUGUUUCUCUAGAUGUUCUUCUGGAAGCAAUGCAGUUGCAUGUUAAUCUAAGCUUCUGUAACUUGAUUCAUGACCUUUUCAACCAUGAAUGGCGAGCUGUUUGAAAAGUUGUUCCUUCAGGUGACCGUGAACACCCAUGUUUCUCUAGAUGUUCUUCUAGAAGCAAUGCAGUUGCAUCUUAAUCAAGCCUUUACCAUGAUUCACAAGCUCUCCAUGAAUGGCGAGCUAUUU